AGCAUUGUCCGUAGAAGUAUCAAGUACCAAUUCGGACCCACGAGAAACAUGUCGAGUAGAGGAGCCGACUCCCCGUCACCAGCCGAUGACAUUGGCAUUGCUUUCCCGGAGUGCGACCGCCUCCACCGGGCCUUAUCAGAUUGCCACCGGCGGAUGCCGGCGGGUCCAUCUCGGCAGGCGGCAUGCCGCCUCCUGAAUCACUCUCUAGCCCAGUGUUUAGUAGCGGUAGCUUGUCCAAAUGAAUCAGAAGCCGUCCGAAACCUCUGCUCCAGCGGCGGCACCGCCCUCAAGCGCCACCAGUGCCGGCAGGCUCAGCAAUCUCUCGCUGUCUGCCUCUCCUCGCGUCAGCUUCAAGAAUCCUAACUUCCAAAUUGAACUCUGCAGAAUUCUCCAUCUUCCAUAAUCGUCUUCUUAAGUGUUGUCUUGCAGUAGAUAGUGGCGCUUGCUGCUGCUUAGAUAUACCUUGUCUUGGAGCAAUAGACACUGAUUUAGAGAGAAUCUAGUCCUGCUGCAUAUUUCUGCAGGACAUGAGGAAACUGAUUCCAGCUAUGUAACUGUUUUCUUUAGAGGAUGUGUGCUUGUUUCCUCCUUGAUUUAGUGGGAACAAGAGUAUCUAAGUAGCUAUCCUACAAGUCAUUAAUAUGUAAUGGAAGCAUAAUUUGCUUGUAAGUACCUGUUAUACUAGAGCGGUAUACUGGAUGAUGGUUAUUUUGGAAAAUGUAUGUUGUCAGGUGAAUGGAUCACCUGCAACAGAAUACUUGUGUGAGAUGUCUUUAUGACAAAGGUUAUCCUGGAAGAGUUAUACUUCUUCUGAGGAAUGGAUGCCCUUAUGUAACCAUCAACACAUCUAUAGAUUUCAUCUCUUUGAUUAA